UUUUUUGUUUGUUUUU
rnacentral:sRNA from 1 species